rnacentral:misc_RNA from 1 species
UGUGGGAGCGAGCUUGCUCGCGAUAGCGGUGUGUCAGGCAACAUCUGGUGAACUGACCCAACGCCAUCGCGAGCAAGCUCGCUCCCACA